UUAAGCCCACAUGGAAUUAGGGUUGUCUUCCAUCAUCCUCUUGCUCCUGCGACCUACACGAUGAAAUCCCACAGAGGUGAAAAGCGCUGUUUUGAUCUCCAUAACGUCUCAACAAUCCAUAAAUAUGUUCUUUGCUUUGAGUUUUUUGUGAUUGCUCCACUCCUCCCACUUCAAAAACAGCGUCACGCUCUCAAAUCGCAAAAACUAACGAGCUCUUCUCAACUCCUCCGGUGAAAUAACGCUCAGUUUUAAUGUUUUUCAGUAACCAAAACCCAUGAACCCCACUAUCGCCUCUUCAUUGCCUAUUUAAUUUCUUUUUCAUAACCUCUAGCGAACACAUAUAUUUACUCUCAGUGUGAUCUCUAAUUUCCUUACUGUAUGCCGCUUGAUUAUAGCUUAAACUCCUAGACAAGCUCUCGGCUUCAUUUGUCCGAGUUGAAUGCAGGACGCUGUAGGGAGGUCGUUGAGGCUCCUUCAAUUUUGGGAGUCUCUGAAUGUCAAAGCAGGGUCGGCUGAUGGGUGUUGAUAUGUUGCUGCUUGAUUCCAAGGCGACUGCUUCAUGCAUCCAUCAAUCACUUAUUGAGUGAAGGAUCUCUUUAUGAGCUUAGUGUUUUUGAAGUAACCCGGAUCAAACCAAACUUCUGCUUUAGUUUUGUUGGUUUCAUAUAUCAAUAGUGAGUUUUAGGUUCUAGAAUUACGACCAACUCAUGGUAUUGGCCAACAAGAAUACUGAUUUACAAGGUUAGCUUUGUAUUCCAAACUUAAAAGCUGCUCCAUAUAUUUAUUUGCAUUCACAGUUGCUAGCAUUUCAAACAUGUUUUCCAAGGCUGUUGUUGGAAAAAUUAUGGGGAUUCGAACAGCUUACAGUGAAGAUAGUCAGAGUAUACAGCGCAUGAUGAUUACCCUAAUCAUUGGAGCUCUGAUGUAUGCAAGUAUUUGACGGCCUAGCUAAGCUCCUUGAAGAGAAUUUGCUGAGUAGGAACGAAGAACCCGAGGUUUUGGUUGCAACUAACAUCAACCCUAAAUUAGUAGGCAGGCGGCUAUUCCUGAAUAAGACAUCCACCACUAAUUUCUUAAUAGAUAAUGAGUGUGUUGCUGGUGCAAGUUAUCUUCAGAGGGUGUGUUGCAGUAAGGAAGGCUCAACUUCUAACCCGAAGAAGUAUGUGUUGUCAAGAAAAUUGAACCAUUGACUUUGGCCAAAUUGCAGCGUGGGUUCACAUCAUUCACAUGUGUUUCAUGCAAUGAGGAGAACGUUGCUGGAGUUAUAAGAUGAGCGUCUCUGAUGCUACGGAAACUUCGAAUUUUGUUGCUUUGACACUGAAGUCACUAAACUGACCAAUAUACGUGAUGCCGAUGUCACAACGAGCAGGAGGUGGUGGACAAAACCCCAGGAUUGGGACCUUCUACUAGGUCUACAUGGAUGGUUGCUCAGGAAAGAAGCCACAGACUGACUAACAUAGAAAGAAGUGAAGCUUUUUAGAAAAAAAAUAAAAAAUAAAAAAAUAAAAGAACAAAGAAGUGGAGCUUCGAUUACAAAACAUAAUGACCUGUACGUUGCUUUUCUUUGAAAAUAAUAUUUCCAGACACUGAAGUCUGAGUACUUCAAAACUUUGACAUAUUUUGAUUUUAUGCUUUACUUUUUCGUAAAUGCACCGCCUCAGACGUUUUGCAGUUGAAAAAUAAAAAGAAAAGUUGAUUCUC